UCCAGCAAUUAUAGACGUUGGUGGGUGUCGGUCAGGAGAUUCUUUUUCGUUGUGUAAGCAGUAUAAAUAGACGCCAUUUCCACCAUUUCUUUCAUUCGAUCGCCAUCACUUGCUCUGCUUUCGCACUUGAUCACUCUUCUCUCGCUUAGACUCUGUGUUCUUUCUUGAUUCAUCAAUGGCUUCCGUCGAGGUCGAUGCAACCCCAGCUGCAGAGGUUUUCAGCAAAACAGAAGA